rnacentral:lncRNA from 1 species
UUUCAUUUUCCAUUUCCAUUAUUCAUCUCCUUCUUCUUCUUCUUUUUUUUCUUUUUGAUCAAUGAGUUAAAGGUUGAUAAGUUAGCAUUGAUUAGGGAGACUUAAUCUUCCUUGAUUCAAAUCUAAUUCAUCUUGAUCAAUUGAUCAAGUGAAUGGCUUUGCAUUAAGGAUAGGUUGUUUUCUAAAUCAUGCAAAGGACUUAAACCAAUACAAGAUC